rnacentral:rRNA from 1 species
UACGUAGGGUGCAAGCGUUGUUCGGAAUUAUUGGGCGUAAAGAGCUCGUAGGCGGUCUGUCGCGUCGAAUGUGAAAACCCGGGGCUCAACUCCGGGCCUGCAUUCGAUACGGGCAGACUAGAGUUCGGUAGGGGAGUCUGGAAUUCCUGGUGUAGCGGUGAAAUGCGCAGAUAUCAGGAGGAACACCGGUGGCGAAGGCGGGACUCUGGGCCGAUACUGACGCUGAGGAGCGAAAGCGUGGGGAGCAAACAGG